ACCCGCUCCCUUCUUUGGAGGGUGCCUGGUGCACGUGCGGCAGCCAACAGGGCAGAUCGGCUCCCGCCCCUGCCGUCGGGGAGGGGGAGGCGGAGGAGGGCAUCGAGCAAAGGCAGGCUUUGAUGAUCUCUGCUCCUGGAUGUGCGCGGGCGGAGCCCACGGGCAGAACAAGUGCAGCGGGCGUGGAGGGCACCGCCAGGCCAGCCAGCCCCCUGGGUCUCCCUGUUCCCUGAGGCCUGAGACCACGUGGCCGUCCCCAAGGAUGUCCGACUGUUGCCUUAGCUCCUGACGCCAGCCCUGUGCCUAGAUCACGUGCCACCUGUUUGCGGUGACAUUUUCUUCAGCUCCCCGGGGUGACCACCGGGCCACACCUGAGCUGGCUCUUGCCACUCCCUCCCAAUUAAAUGCCGCUUGCUUCGCAUCGGAGCCCCAGCCCGGGGUCUGACGGUGAUGACGGCAGCGAGGACACCACGCCACUUACUCCUGUACGUACGUUGCUUCUCUUUGCUUAUGAGAAAACAGGAGCCAGAAAGAAAGGGACAGGAUUGUGAGGAAUCCCUGUGUAUCCAUCACCCAAGUCACGGCCCAUCUUGUUCGCUCGGUUCCGCCCGCUUUCGCUGGCGUUCAUUUGUUUGCUGGAGAAUUUUGAAGCCGAUCCUAGAGGCCGUGACGUUUGGGUCAGAACGAAUCUGGGUCAUUUUGAACUGGUUUGAUAUGUUCGCGUGUAAGACGCAGCCGUCGGGUCACUGUCGCGCCUAGCGCGUGUUAACUUCAUGACCUGUACCGGAUGGUCUUUAACCAGCUUGGUUUGUCCAAUCGGCGCCCCCUGAGGCCUGCAUAUUCGCUCAUCGGUUGUCUCCUUGGACCCCUCCAUUCCUUUCCCUCCCCCACUUAGAGACCCCUGGCCGUCUGCCCCGUAGAAUGCUCUGUCUUCCGGACUGCGAUGAAUGCCGCCUUAUGAUGUCAGGUGACUUAUUCCUCCCUGUUCCAUAUUUUCCGUAAGCUGUUAUUCAAGCAGAGGUGUGUGAAGGCUGGAGAACCACCGGGGACAGACCUCCUGGAGGAAGAGGAAUUUUAUCACUGACGUCGCUCGGGGCGGCCGGUGCCCGGUGAUAAUAAAAAGCAAACUGAC